GACAGCCUUCUGAUGACAGAGACUAGAACAACAUAGCUGCAACCCAGGGAAUGCCAGGGAUUGUGGCCACCAUCAGAAGCCUGCAAAAGAACACAGUGACCUGUGAUGUCUUCCCACUACUCCCAGGUUGAGAGAGAGAGAAUGAAGACCCAUUGCUGUACAGGAACUAACUGAAUGCUUUGAAGGUCCUGCAAGGCCAAUGUGGCUGGAAUGCAGACACAAUGCCAGGAGGAACAGGAGAUGUGGCUGACGAGAGAGGGAGGAGUCGGAUCUCAUGGGAACUGUCACCUGCAGUGCUGCAGACCUCUUUGAACACAUCAUGAGCACUGGAUUCUCGCCUCUGAAAAAUAAAAAUCACAUAUAGAAAAAUUCAGGCAGUUUUUAGGAGUUUGAAGAAUCCCUGCUCGUCGUGGACCCAUUUGGGGUUGGAUUCCUGACCAUGUCUCGGAUUCAGAAGUCAUAUAAGAUGCAGGUUAGCAAACUUUGGAAAACGAACGAGGCGUUUUGAGGACAAACAGUGUCUUCCAUAUAUCAUCUUCUGGAAUAGCUCAGAUCUGGAUGAGGUCACAGGACUUUCCAUUCAUGGGGAUCUCUUCCUGGGGCUCAGAGAUCAUUGAGAGAGGGCAAUCAUCGUGGAUGUGUCCAAGUGAAGGUAGUUUGGAAAGAAAGUUAACCUUUUUUUUCCUUUACUAAAAAUCUUAAGGUCCCCAUUAGCAGGCAGGAAGAAAGAGGACAGGUGAGCUCCCUGGUAUCGAUGUAUUUACAGAGAACCUAGGCAUCAGCCAUGCAUACAGAGGACACUCAUUUGGCCGGAAUUCGGGCUUUGACUUUAAUUAAAUUCCCUUGCUCCCAAUAAGACCUCUCUUAAUCUGAAAACAAUUUGUAUCAUUGAUGUACCUGCCAAGACCUCAUUGCAAAGGAGCAGGAGGGACCUAGGAAAUGUUGCUGGCAAAAUCCAGAGUGACUCUAAAGGGGCAAUGGCUUCCUUUGGAUGCUCAUGUGCUGGGCAUAGCAAUUGAAAAGAGUCGUGAACACUUAGGAGUAAACCAAGAUGCAAAGUUCACAUUCGAGGGAAGAAGGAUGCAGUGUGGAAGAAAGGAAGGCAGAUGCUGCAGCCCUGCCUACAAACAAGGAGGGAGCCAUUCAGAGCCCCAAGC